UACGUAGGGGGCUAGCGUUGUCCGGAAUCAUUGGGCGUAAAGUGCGUGUAGGCGGUCCGGUAAGUCCGCUGUGAAAGUCGGGGGCUCAACCCUCGGAUGCCGGUGGAUACUGUCGGGCUUGAGUACGGAAGAGGCGAGUGGAAUUCCUGGUGUAGCGGUGAAAUGCGCAGAUAUCAGGAGGAACACCAAUUGCGGAGGCAGCUCGCUGGGACGUUACUGACGCUGAGACGCGAAAGCGUGGGGAGCAAACAGG
rnacentral:rRNA from 1 species